ACAUCCUGCCCUGUCUGGCGCCCUGCCUGUGCAAACGGUUGGUGGCGGGCCCGCCCGAAAGCGCAGAGAGAGA
rfam:Trypanosoma cruzi strain CL Brener tcruzi_1047053401307, whole genome shotgun sequence.